GCCAGAAAGCGAAACAGCUGUCUGAGGAGACUCAGUGCAGUGCAGCCAGAGCUGGAACCACACACCCUGAUAUCCACGCGCAAUCUUAGGUCUUGCGGUGUAUCCUUCCCAAGUGGCGUGGAUGUGAAGAGACACGACAUUUCCCCUGAUGUUCCCUGGGCGACCUACUUGUGAUGUGGACCUGACCCUCCACCAUGUAGCAGACAACCCCCUCAGGUCUUGCGGUGUAUCCUUCCCAAGUGGCGUGGAUGUGAAGAGACACAGUUCCCCUGAUGUUCCCUGGGCAACCUACUUACGUACAAUUCAACUGCAUUACAAAUUUUAAUAAAAACCACA